rnacentral:rRNA from 1 species
UACGAAGGGGGCUAGCGUUGCUCGGAAUUACUGGGCGUAAAGGGAGCGUAGGCGGACAGUUUAGUCAGAGGUGAAAGCCCAGGGCUCAACCUUGGAAUUGCCUUUGAUACUGGCUGUCUUGAGUGCGGAAGAGGUCGUGGAAUUCCCAGUGUAGAGGUGAAAUUCGUAGAUAGUUGGGAAGAACACCGGUGGCGAAGGCGGCGACCUGGUCCGAUACUGACGCUGAGGCGCGAAAGCGUGGGGAGCGAACAGG